rnacentral:rRNA from 1 species
UAUGCGGCUCUCUGUGGCUGUGCCUCGGUGCUGUCACAGAACCGCAUAAGCAGGUGAAACUUCUUAGAGGGACUGGCGCUCAAAAAGGCGCACGAGAAAGAGCAAUAACAGGUCUGUGAUGCCCUAAGAUGUUCGGGGCCGCACGCGUGCUACAAUGACGAUGCUAGUGAGCAUGAUUAACUUGCCCGAGAGGGUAGGUGAAACUGAUCAAUCAUCGUCGUAACUGGGAUUGGGGUUUGCAAUUGUCCCCCAUGAACCAGGAAUUCCUAGUAAGCACAAGUCAUCAGCUUGUGCUGAUUACGUCCCUGCCCUUUGUACACACCGCCCGUCGCUACUACCGAUUGAAUGGUUUAGCAAGGUUAUUGGAUUGGUGUCUUGCGGUUCACGCUGCUCGACACUGAAAAGAUGACCGAACUUGAUCAUUUAGAGGAAGUAAAAGUCGUAACAAGGUUUCCGUAGGUGAACCUGCGGAAGGAUCAUUG